UACGGGGGGAGCAAGCGUUGUUCGGAUUUACUGGGCGUAAAGGGCGCGUAGGCGGCGCGACAAGUCACUUGUGAAAUCUCCGGGCUUAACCCGGAGCGGCCAAGUGAUACUGUAGUGCUAGAGUGCGGAAGGGGCUACUGGAAUUCUCGGUGUAGCGGUGAAAUGCGUAGAUAUCGAGAGGAACACCUGCGGCGAAGGCGGGUUGCUGGGCUGAUACUGACGCUGAUGCGCGAAAGCCAGGGGAGCGAACGGG
rnacentral:rRNA from 1 species